CUCCGGUACCGGCGACUAGACUUCUUCCUAAUUGCGCAGAGGGCUGUUGUCUGGGACGGUGAUCUGGGCCCAGAUGUCACCCUCUUACAAGGGCCCACUUGUCUACCCAAUCCAAGCACCUUCUACAGUCUGAGCUCUCCAAGUCUCCACAAUGGGGAAGGGAGAAGCAAAGUGUUCUGCAGCACAAGACAGGAAGAGUCACCAGUGUUGCCCGUAGAAGUCAGGGGCCCACAUGGAACAGGCCUCCAUGAAUCAGAGUUGAGACCUUGAGCAAGCUCCCUGGCAAAGAGUUUGACUUCACAGGAAUGGAGGGGAGAGCAUGCACCCCCUCAAGACUGGCCCUGAGUCAGCUUCCUGACUUUCAAUGAGCUCAUCACUGCUGAUCAGAGCCCUCCAGGCACCAGGUCCCACGUGUUGGAGGAUGAGAAGUCAGAUGGGAAUACUGUCCUGACCUGUCCUGUCACUUGGUUACCCUGUCCCCUUAAGAGACAAGCCCCGCCCACUCCCCCUUUCCUUUCUCUUCUGAAGAGGUAGCUGCUGCCUCUCUCCUCCCCUCUUCUCCCCACUUUCUUUUUUCUCUGCCCCCUCUCCUUUCCUUCCA